GACGAACGCUGGCGGCGUGGAUAAGGCAUGCAAGUCGAACGGGAUGGGGAUUCAAGCAAUUGUGUCCCUUGAGAGUGGCGAACGGGUGAGUAACACGUGGGUAACCUGCCCAUAAGAGGGGGAUAACAUCCGGAAACGGGUGCUAAUACCGCAUAGGUUUCUUGGUCGCAUGAUUGAGAAAGGAAAGGCGGCCUUUGUGCUGUCGCUUAUGGAUGGACCCGCGGCGUAUUAGUUAGUUGGUGAGGUAACGGCUCACCAAGACGAUGAUACGUAGCCGACCUGAGAGGGUGAUCGGCCACA
rnacentral:rRNA from 1 species